rnacentral:rRNA from 1 species
CCCUUAGAUGAUUUGGGCUGCACGCGCGCUACACUGACCCUAACAAUGAGCAACUGUCUGGCCUGAGAUGGCUGGGUAGCCUCUUCAACCCAUGUCAUGAUUGGGCUAGAUUUUUGUAAGUCUUGAUCUCUAACGAGGAAUCCCUAGUAUGCGUGAAUCAUCAAUCCAUGCAGAUUAUGUCCCUGCCCUUUGUACACACCGCCCGCCGCUCCUACUGAUUGGGUGAUCCGGUGAGCUGUUCGGCCAUAGCAAUGUUUCUUGAGCAGGGCAAUGAAUGUUUCGCAAACCUUGCCACUUAGAGGAAGGAGAAGUCGUAACA